rnacentral:lncRNA from 1 species
UCUACCAUUCACAAGUCACAUGAAAUAAAAUUGCCACUCAUCUAAAACAACCAAAAUCCUUACAUGCAAAUGCCAUCAAAAGGACUUUUCCAAGGCUUGUAAUGAGGCUGGGCUAGCAAGAAGAAUUGGUUUUUCUGGAAUGAAAAAUCCUUGAGUUAAGAGAGCUAUCAUAGUAUUCAACAUUUAAGCACAAAUCUCUUCCUCAUCAAUCUCACUUAAUCCCAACAUUUUCCUUUUUUUUUUCAUUGAACCCCAUCUUCAUGCUUUUCUUAUUUUCUUUUCUUUUUUUCAUGUAUUUUUCUUUCACAACUUUUGAGUUCAAUGCUUUUAAAUUUCCUUUAGAUUUCCCCCAUGCAACCCCAAACUUGAACCUUUUCAUCACAUACAAUUAAGCUCAUCCCAACUCAAGGUAAAGAAUGUCAAGACAAGGGUUCACAUCCUGUUUAAGG